UACAGAGGUCUCAAGCGUUGUUCGGAUUCAUUGGGCGUAAAGGGUGCGUAGGUGGCCCAGUAAGCGUGCGGUGAAAGCUCGGGGCUCAACCCCGAGUCGGCCGUGCGAACUACUGGGCUGGAGCACUGUAGAGGCAGGCGGAAUUCCUGGUGUAGCGGUGGAAUGCGCAGAUAUCAGGAGGAACACCGGUGGCGAAGGCGGGUCUCUGGGCCGAUACUGACGCUGGAGGAGCGAAAGCGUGGGGAGCGAACAGG
rnacentral:rRNA from 1 species